rnacentral:rRNA from 1 species
GACGAACGCUGGCGGCGUGCUUAACACAUGCAAGUCGAACGGAAAGGCCCUGCUGUUGUGGGGUGCUCGAGUGGCGAACGGGUGAGUAACACGUGAGUAACCUGCCCUUGACUUUGGGAUAACUUCAGGAAACUGGGGCUAAUACCGGAUAGGAGCUCCUGCUGCAUGGUGGGGGUUGGAAAGUUUCGGCGGUUGGGGAUGGACUCGCGGCUGAUCGGCUUGUUGGUGGGGUAGUGGCUUACCAAGGCUUUGACGGGUAGCCGGCCUGAGGGGGUGACCGGCCCCAUUGGGCCUGAGAUACGGCCCAGACUCCAACGGGAGGCAGCAGUGGGGAAUAUUGCACAAUGGGCGGGAGCCUGAUGCGGCAACGCCGCGUGCGGGAUGACGGCCUUCGGGUUGUAAACCGCUUUCGCCUGUGACGAAGCGUGAGUGACGGUAAUGGGUAAAGAAGCACCGGCUAACUACGUG